rnacentral:rRNA from 1 species
UACGUAGGGUGCGAGCGUUAAUCGGAAUUACUGGGCGUAAAGUGUGCGCAGGCGGCCGCGCAAGUCGAGUGUGAAAGCCCCGAGCUUAACUUGGGAAUUGCGCUCGAAACUACGUGGCUGGAGUGUGGCAGAGGAAGGUGGAAUUCCAGGUGUAGCGGUGAAAUGCGUAGAGAUCAGGAAGAACAUCGGUGGCGAAGGCGCUCUGCUGGACCAUAACUGACACUCAGGGACGAAAGCUAGGGGAGCGAAUGGG